rnacentral:rRNA from 1 species
UACGGAGGGGGCGAGUGUUGUUCGGAAUUACUGGGCGUAAAGGGCGCGCAGGCGGCCUGGCAAGUCGAGUGUGAACUCCCUUGGCCUAACUGAGGAAUGGCGCUCGAAACUACCUCGCUGGAGGGCGGGAGAGGGAAGUGGAACUCUCGGUGUAGGGGUGAAAUCUGUAGAUAUCGAGAGGAACACCGGUGGCGAAGGCGGCUUCCUGGCCCGUACCUGACGCUGAGGCGCGAAAGCGUGGGGAGCAAACAGG